rnacentral:rRNA from 2 species
AAACCAACAGGGAUUGCCUUAGUAACGGCGAGUGAAGCGGCAAAAGCUCAAAUUUGAAAGCUAGCACCUUCGGUGUUCGCAUUGUAAUUUGAAGAAGGUAUCUUUGGAGUUGGCCCUUGUCUAUGUUCCUUGGAACAGGACGUCAUAGAGGGUGAGAAUCCCGUCUGAUGGGGUGUCCAAUUCUUUGUAAAGAGCUUUCGAAGAGUCGAGUUGUUUGGGAAUGCAGCUCUAAGUGGGUGGUAAAUUCCAUCUAAAGCUAAAUAUUGGCGAGAGACCGAUAGCGAACAAGUACAGUGAUGGAAAGAUGAAAAGAACUUUGAAAAGAGAGUGAAAAAGUACGUGAAAUUGUUGAAAGGGAAGGGCAUUAGAUCAGACUUGGUGUUUUGUGAUUAUCUUCCUCUUGUAGGUUGUGCACUCGCAUUUCACUGGGCCAGCAUCGAUUCGGAUGGUAAGAUAAUGACAUUGGAAUGUGGCUACUUCGGUAGUGUUAUAGCCUUUGUUGAUGUUGCCUAUCUGGAUCGAGGACUGCGUCUUUGACUAGGAUGCUGGCGUAAUGAUCUAAUGCCGC